rnacentral:rRNA from 1 species
GAUGAACGCUGGCGGCGUGCCUAAUACAUGCAAGUCGAGCGAACAGACGAGGAGCUUGCUUCUCUGACGUUAGCGGCUGACGGGUGAGUAACACGUGGAUAACCUACCUAUAAGACUGGGAUAACUUCGUGAAACCGGAGCUAAUACCGGAUAAUAUAUUGAACCGCAUGGUUCAAUAGUGAAAGACGGUUUUGCUGUCACUUAUAGCUGGAUCCGCGCCGCAUUAGCUAGUUGGUAAGGUAACGGCUUACCAAGGCAACGAUGCGUAGCCGACCUGAGAGGGUGAUCGGCCACACUGGAACUGAGACACGGUCCAGACUCCUACGGGAGGCAGCAGUAGGGAAUAUUCCGCAAUGGGCGAAAGCCUGACGGAGCAACGCCGCGUGAGUGAUGAAGGUCUUCGGAUCGUAAAACUCUGUUAUUAGGGAAGAACAAAUGUGUAAGUAAAUAUGCACGUCUUGACGGUACCUAAUCAGAAAGCCACGGCUAACUACGUG